GAUGAACGCUGGCGGCGUGCCUAAUACAUGCAAGUCGAGCGAACGGACGAGAAGCUUGCUUCUCUGAUGUUAGCGGCGGACGUGUGAGUAACACGUGGAUAACCUACCUAUAAGACUGGGAUAACUUCGGGAAACCGGAGCUAAUACCGGAUAAUAUUUUGCACCGCAUGGUUCAAAAGUGAAAGACGGUCUUUCUGUCUCUUAUAGAUGGAUCCGCGCUGCAUUAGCUAGUUGUUAAGGUAACGGCUUACCAAGGCAACGAUGCAUAGCCGACCUGAGAGGGUGAUCGGCAACACUGGAACGGAAACACGGUCCAGAGUACUACGGGAGGCAGCAGAAGGGAAUGUUACGCAAUGGGCGAAAACCUGACGGAGCAACGCGGCGUGAGUGAUGAAGAUCUUCGGAUCGUAAAACUCUGUUAUUAGGGAAGAACAUAUGUGUAAGUAACUGUGCACAUAUUGACGGUACCUAAUCAGAAAGCCACGGCUAACUACGUG
rnacentral:rRNA from 1 species